rnacentral:rRNA from 1 species
UACAGAGGGGGCGAGCGUUGUUCGGAAUUACUGGGCGUAAAGAGCUCGUAGGUGGUUUGUCGCGUUGUCCGUGAAAACUCACAGCUUAACUGUGGGCGUGCGGGCGAUACGGGCAGACUGGAGUACUGCAGGGGAGACUGGAAUUCCUGGUGUAGCGGUGGAAUGCGCAGAUAUCAGGAGGAACACCAGCGGCGAAGGCGGCACUCUGGGCUGAUACUGACGCUGAGGCGCGAAAGCCAGGGGAGCAAACGGG